ACCGUCAAAUAAGGACAGUGCAUACUGAAAAAAGGAAAGGUGAUACGAGAAAACGAAAAACAGAAAGCCCCAAUUCUCUUUUCAAUUUCCCUCCAAAUUCUCCCUCUAUUCUUCUUUGACAUUUCUCUCUCCAUCAUCAUGUUCAACAGAUUGAUAGCUCUGGCCAGGACAGACCCUUUCAGAGAGAGAGGCACAGAGAGAGAAGAUCGAAUGAGCAUUAGGGUUAGGAUUAAAAAUGCCCCAGCAGCUCAGAGAGUGAAAAGGCUGAGAGGGUAUAAAGAGAAUAUUGAAGGAAACGGGAGAGCAUAUCGAAGAAAAGUAGAGAGAGAGAGGUACAAAUAGAGAAGAUUGAAGGAAAGCAUUAGGGCUAGGGUUUGAAAGGUCCUGAGCAUUUGCUGCCACUUGAAAUUAACCCAAGUCAAGGAAGAAUUGCAAAGUUUGAGAAAAGUUUGAUGACUUUCUCCAGCACCUCAAGCAAGCCAUCAUCUAUAUACUAUGUGUUUCGUAGUUCGAAAUUCGGAGCAAUCUCUCUAGGAGCUUGAUGUGGAUGAUGUUAUGAAAUUUUGGCAAUUGGGGAUAUUGCAAUUUUUCUGUAAAUUUGCAGCAACGUGCUAGUUGCACUAAUCUUUAUGAGAAUAUUAAAUAUUUUAUGUAUAUGAAUGAGGAAUAAUGGCUUGCCAAUUAUUUGUAUAAUAAGAGUUUUUGAUGUGUAUAUAGAUGAGAAUGUAAAGAGAGAAUGGGGGUGCUAAUUGAUGAUAGAAGAUUUAUGUGUAUAUCGGUAACACACUUAAGAUGUUUUUUAGUUCA